rnacentral:rRNA from 1 species
GGCUCGACACGCCUACGCCGUCCGGUGGAUAGCUUGGCUCGAGCGCCGAAGAAGGGCGUGGCAAGCUGCGAAAAGCCCCGGCUAGAUGCACGCAGUCUAUGAACCGGGGAUCCCCGAAUGAGACCUCUCACUAAGAGCUAAUAACUCUUAGUGCUUCCAAAAGGAAGCGGAAACCCCCCGAACGGAAACAUCCUAGUAGGAGGAGGAAAAGAAACCGAAAGGGAUGCCGUGAGUAAAGGCGAUUGAAAACGGCACAGGGCAAACCGAACCUUUCCAGGAAACUGGAAAGGGAUGUGGAGUUGCGGUCUGUCCAACAAAUUAGCCCUCCAAGGGAAGUCGAACUCGCAUGGAAAGGCGGGCCGAAGAGGGUGAUAGUCCCGUAGAUAUGCCGAAGAGGGUUAAAGGGCAGAACCAGAGUACCGUGGGCUGGAUACCCCGCAGGAAGCUGGGAGCCACUAACUCCUAACCCUAAAUACGUCUCGAGUCCGAUAGCGCACUAGUACCGUGAGGGAAAGCUGAAAAGUACCCCGGAAGGGGGGUGAAAAGUGCUUGAAACCGGGCGGUUAUAAACGUGCGCGGCCCAAAAGGACAGAACCUUCCCGAAGGAAACCUUGGCGACAAGGAAGUACGAAGGAAGGGGACCAGGGUUGCGCGCUCCGUCUAGAAACACGGGCCAGGGAGUUCACUGCUGUGGCGAGCUUAAAGGCUAAAACCUGAAAGCAUAGGGAAACCGAGAAGCCCGCAACCCGAAAGGGUGAGGGGCGAGGUCUGAAAGGGCCUGAAGUCACGGCAGUGAUACCAGAAACCGAGCGAUCUUGCCCUGGGCAAGACGAAGCCAGUGGAAACACCGGUGGAGGUCUGAAGGGGUUCUGACGUGCAAUUCGCUCCCCUGACCUGGGGUAAGUGGCAAAAGACCAAUCUAGCUCGGUGAUAGCUGGUUCCCUCCGAAGUAUACCUCAGUAUAGCCUGGCCGGAGAUAGCUGACGGGGUAGAGCACUGAUCGGGGAGUUCGGUGGGUAAAACCAUUGUCUCUCUUUUCAAACUCCGAACCCGUUAGCAUCUAAGAAGGCCGGAGACGGGCGCCUCGGGGUAAGCUCGAGGGCCGAGACGGGAACAACCGAGGCCGAGGUUAAGGUCCCUAAGUACCGGUUAAGUGUCAACCCGAAAGGCGUCCGUGGGCGAAAACAGCGGGAAGGUAGGCUUAGAAGCAGCCAUCCUCUAAGAAGUGCGUAACAGCUUACCUGCCGAGCUCACGGGCCCUGAAGAUGGACGGGGCUAAGCCGGUCACCGAUACCUCGGGGCACGCCUAAUUGGCGUGAUCUGGUAGGAGGGCGUUCUGUCUGGGCAGAAGCUGGGUGGAAACUUCCAGUGGACCGGGCAGAACCGCAGAUCCUGGCGGUAGUAGCAGCAGAUCCGGGUGAGAAUCCUGGACACCGGAGGGGCAAGGGUUCCUCGGCAACGUUCGUCAGCCGAGGGUUAGUCGAUCCUAAGGCGACUCUUAACAUGACGUCGUCGAAAGGGAAACAGGUUCAUAUUCCUGUACCGUGCAGGUACACUACGCGGUAACGCAAAGUCUAUCUUCCAACGCUUCGGGGUAGGCUGAGCAGGGCCAUCGCCCUGUUUAAGCGCAUAAGCCCGGGGAGUACUGUAAAAGUGAGAACUGGGUAAAAACGUGAAUAGCCCGCCAAAAGUGGUGGGUUCAACCGAUCCCUGGAGCCAGAGAAAAGGAAGGUAGGAAGGAUCCUGCGCGUUCGUACCCAGAACCAACACAGGUGCCCCUAGAUGAGGAGUCUAAGGUGUGUCGGGACCAACUCAAGCGAGGGAAAUCGGCAAAUUGGCCCCGUAACUUCGGGAUAAGGGGUGCCUGCGGUUUCGCAAAGGAACUGCAGGUCGCAGUGACCAGAGGGACCCGACUGUUUAAUAAAAACACAGCUUCUCGCAAGUCCGAAAGGAUGUGUACGGGAAGUGAAUCCUGGCCAGUGGCGGUACGUUAAAGCCGGGUACAACUGGCUGAAGCGCCGCUAAACGCCGGGAGUAACUGUGACUCUCUUAAGGUAGCCAAAUGCCUUGCCGGGUAAGUUCCGGCGUGCAUGAACGGAACAACGAGGUCCCUACUGUCCCCGCUUGAGGCCCGGUGAACCCACAGACCAGCGAACAGUCUGGUCUCGCCCAGUGGGAAGAGAAGACCCCGUGGAGCUUUACUGCAGUCUGCUCCUGCGGUACGGUCAGUGGCGCAGAGCGUAGGCGGGAGCCGCUAAUCCUAUCAUCUCCGGGUGGUAGGGUAGGCGCCCAUGGAACACCGCCCACCAGUGCCUGUAUCGCUAACCUCGCCUCCAGGCGAGGGACAAGGGUUGAUGGGCAGUUUGGCUGGGGCGGCACGCCCCUGAAAAGAUAUCGGGGGCGCCCUAAGGUCGGCUCACUCGGGUCAGAACUCCGAGGUAGAGUGUAAGGGCAAAAGCCGGCCUGACUGAACCCCGAAAAACAAGGGGUUCAGGUGUGAAAGCAGGGCCUAGCGAUCCACUGUGUCUCCAUUAGUGGGAGCUAGUGGUGUCGGAAAAGUUACCCCGGGGGUAACAGAGUUGUCGCGGCCGAUAGUCCACAUUGACGCCGCGGUUUGCUUCCUCGAUGUCGGCUCUUCUCAUCCUGGCGGUGCAGCAGCCGCCAAGGGUAGGGCUGUACGCCCGUUAAAGAGGAACGUGAGCUGGGUUUAGACCGUCGCGAGCCAGGUCGGACUCUAUCUACUGGGCGUGUAGGUUGCCUGAGGAGAAGGUGUCUUUAGUACGAGAGGAACGGGACGCCGUGGCCUCUGGUUUACCGGUCAUCCGGCAGGGUGCGCCGGGCAGCUACGCCAUAAGGGGUAACCGCUGAAAGCAUCUAAGCGGGAAACCCUCCCCGAAAAGAGGCAGCCAUUCCUCAAGAUACACGCUUUUACGUGCCUGAAGCUGGCGACAGCGUCAGGUUCUUGGGGACGAGGGCUCGGGUAAUUGACCCGGUUGAUGGGGUCGGUGUGUACGUGCCAAGUUUCGGCGAGGUACUCAGCAUGCGACUCCCAACCGCUCGAGUGUGUCGAGCU